UCUCACUCACAAUUAAUUUCAGAUGUUUGUGAUUCCAUACAAGGUCUAUAAAUUUGCACUCAAUAUGCACAAAUAUGUGAGCCACCACAGAACAUUUUCUCAGUCCUUUCUGAGAGUAUUCUCCCAGGGUUGCCUCAAACUAGCCUGGCAAGCCAGAUUAGUGUUGCCAUUGACAAAACAAAAUCAUCUGGCGUAUGGUGUCAUUGUGUUAAUAUAAAAAUGCUCCGUCCCAAUGUCCAUGCUUGGCAUUAAACCUUCAUAAAUAUUAACUGAUGUAAUCAAGAGAAGUGUCUCAUUGUGAGAGGUUGUGAGGUCUUAAAAUUCCUAAUUUGGAAAAGGGACAGGUUUUAUAAAAUCCCAUGUCACUAGUUUUUGUUACAAGUAAAGUGUGAGCCUUUCAUAUGUAGCCUAGUUUAAUAAAACUGAGUGCUUGUUGUGGACCUUUUGAAUAAUAUAGUAAAAGUUGACUGAUUUGAGCUUUCAAUAUUUAAACUUCCCAACCUCCUUUCAUUAAGAUGAGCACUCAAGCUGUCUGUCAGCCAUAAACGGUAAACACUGGGAUCUUAACUUAACCAUAUGAAACCAAGGUCUGAACCCAACCAUUCAAUCAUGACUAGGAAUGUGGUAGGCUAAUUGCCACCGAUGUGAAUCCCGCAGGUAUGAGAAACUCUGUCUGUGGUGUCCUCGCUAUGUCCUUCACUUGGGGGCGUUGUCAGAUUGAAUUAUUGAAAUGCUCCAAACAACUACAGUAUUUGACAUAGACACAGUGGUCUGCAGAGUUAGCCAGUAAACAAUGCAGGGUCCCAGAUUGUGAACAUCUUGUGAUCAUUUUUUUUAAAGCCAGUGGUACAAAAAUUAAAGAAAUAGGAACCCAUGCUUAUUGCGAAUGUGCCCUUUUAUGUUUUUCAGAAGUCAUAAUGUCGUAACCUUGAGACAGUGUGUGUUUUUAUUGUCCGACUGUCCAGCUUACAUGUUGUCAGCAUUUAGUAAAAACAGCAAGUCUUCUCCUCCAAAUGGAGGGUCACAUGCUGAGAGCGGUGCACAAAGGUAUCUGCUUCAUUGACCACCAACACUGACUGACUGGACCACUCAGACCAGCGAGCGCUGCUGCAGGACAACACCAGAAGACACCAGCCUUUCCUCACUGGCAGAGAAUGGGGGGGGGGUGAUCCAGGAAAGGUAAAAUGAAGCCAAAGGACAGUUACCGUGCUGUGGUUUUCUGAGGAACUGCUGGGUCUGUAAAACAUCUACAGUAGUGGCCAUUAGACACCAUUUUGUUUUUCAUCAGAUUGCCGUAGCUGUAAUGUUUUGUUCCUUUGUAAUUUUUUUGUUUUUAAUUACUGGUACUUCAUUAAAUCUGAACUUUGAAUUUUGGUUUUGCUCCAGCUGUUUAAUAUGUGAAGAAGCUAAAAAUAAAAUUUAAGAUUUGUUCAAAGAG